GAAAAAUUAGAUAAAGCUAUGAAUAAUUAUGUUAGAGAUUAUAUUGAGGGACUAGGGUUACAUGUUGUGUUCACUGAAUCAUUUACAAUGAACAUAAACAUUUAUAAUCACAAAAAAGGUAUUUCUGAAAAUCAGUAUCUGUUACAAUCAUUCAAAUGCAAUGUCAUUUAUUUAUAUUGCAUUAUUUAGUCUAUUGUUUUCUCAUUUUUUAAAAAAAAUAGCAAUUAAAGCAAAGAGGAAAUCUUUAUGGUUAAUAUUUAAAAUUUUAUCUUUAGAAAUAAAAAAGUGGUUCAUCAUACAUAAAAGAAAAAACAAAUUUAAUCUGUAAGAGUACAUUAUCUUUAAUUUUCUUAAGUCAAAAACAGUUUACAUAUUAGCAUCAGUGUAAACAUCCUCUCUGACGUCGCAAUGUUAAGACUUCUGUUGCCUUGGUGCCAUCUCAUUCUGACCCUGGGCUCAUUGGCCCUUACACUUUAAUCUGAACAAUGGAACCAGAGACAUCAGCACUGUCCAGGCUCUCUGAUGAUCUUCAUCCUUCGCCAGUGGCAAUUCAUGAAAUAAAUACAGAGUUUUCUGAGGAAAGUAUAAUAUACUCAGACCUCAAAGUUCGUUGUUCUUCAAAUACCCAGAACGUAAAAAUAACUAAAACUUCGAAAACAAAAGUGUCUCCAUGGUGCAUUGCUGCUGUGAUAUUUGCCUUCCUUUAUAUAAUCACUCUGGUAAUAGUUGGAGCUAUGGUAGCUAAGAUUCAUUGUCUUGAGGAGAUCCUGCAUGAGACAACCAUUGAGACUGCACAUUGCAACAUAAUAUCACAAAGCAAAGGUUGACAGCCUAAUGCACCAGGAUAGAAAUAAAGACAGAGAUCAGGACAGAAGUUGAAUUCCUAGGAAAUCUGAGCAGGACGGACAAGGUAUGUACAAUAAGUGAUCCUGCCAGUUGGUCUUCGAGAAAACAAAAGGACUACUAUACUCCUCACUUUGUUAGAGCUGAAAACCAUAAAGCUAGAGUGAUGGCAGCUCCUGUGAACUCCGAUGAAACCACAAAGGAAGUCAUUGGGUCAAGAAAUGCAUUACGAGCCACCGUGAGGCACGACCACCCUUCUGCUUUGCAGAGUUCAGAGUAAGAGUCCCUUCCUGUGUGAAAGGCACUGACUGCUACAGCCUCCAGGACACCUUCUCACUGCAUAUGUGUGAUAAAUGUGAGAUUCAUUAUUUUGUUCUUUGUAGAAAAUUAAGUAUGAAAUAAUUUCUUACUUUUUUGUCAAGUGUUUUCCAGGUUGCUUCUCAAUAAAUUCUUUUUUAAAAAAUUGACGAUUUCCCCAAGAGUUUCUCCACUGGUUGCAAACCACGUCUUUAAUUUUCUUGGAAGCAUUUUGAUAUUAUGAUUAAGGACACAAGUUUGAUACCAGAUAAGGCAACAUAUUAGUUUGAGUUGUGUCACUUAUUAUAUUUAUAACUUUAGUCCAGUUGAAUUCCCUAAUCUACUUUUUCCACAUCUGUAAAAUGAAGGGGAUAAAAGUAUCCUCAUCACAAGGUUUUUCUAGGGAUUGAAUGAGAAAACAUUGUCAACUGUUGUUAUUGUUUCUUGUGUCUUCUUUGUUUGCAAUUUAAUACUCAUUCUCCUUUGGUGCAGUUUUGUGAUUUCUUUUUCUUUCAUGAAAUACUUUAUUUAUA
rnacentral:lncRNA from 1 species